GAGGAAGCACUUCCGCGGCAUCUGCUGUUACUCUGGAUGUUCGGAGGAAGUCCAAUCCAAGCGAAAAGCGUCUAUUAUUGCUGUGUGAAGAUCGCCGAUUGCAAAAGAGGCAUCAAAGACCACCACCGAUGCAAAGAUAAUAAAAGCAAUUCUAAAGUAUCUAGACGCAAUUUAUGUCAGUGAAUUUCAUAAUUCCCCCUGAUUUUCGUUGGGUCGAAGGAAGGUAACGAAGAUAACGAAACCUGAAGCAAAAUUGUACAAUAUCUUCUUAAUGUAUGUAUAUUUUGUCAUCUUUAAAAAGAACACCGGAACCGAGGAACGGAAGCCAGUAGUCGUCAGGAACGAUACACGGUGGCGAAAUAAUUACCUUAAAAUCAUAACGGCGUCCACAGUGAAGGGACAAAAUUCCUUUUUGAAAUAAGAAGCCUUCCAAGUGUAAAGAUAUCAGAGAAGAUUCUGAUGUUAUCAGGUAUACACUUGUACACAGAGGUAGAUAAUUACAGA